GCAGGCCCGUGCGGCGCGGCCUCUGUCCGAACCGACCCUGACGUACUUCCCCGACGUCAGGUCCGGGCUCUCGGACAGGGACCACGCCGCAGGGGCCGCCCCGA
rfam:Mycobacterium obuense strain TC1 Mobu_contig000106, whole genome shotgun sequence.